rnacentral:rRNA from 1 species
UGUAUUUAUUAGAUUAAAAACCAAUGCCCUUCGGGGCUCCUUGGUGAUUCAUAAUAACUUAACGAAUCGCAUGGCCUUGUGCCGGCGAUGGUUCAUUCAAAUUUCUGCCCUAUCAACUUUCGAUGGUGGUAUAUGGGACUACCAUGGUUUCAACGGGUAACGGGGAAUUAGGGUUCUAUUCCGGAGAGGGAGCCUGAGAAACGGCUACCACAUCCAAGGAAGGCAGCAGGCGCGCAAAUUACCCAAUCCCGACACGGGGAGGUAGUGACAAUAAAUACUGAUACAGGGCUCUUUUGGGUCUUGUAAUUGGAAUGAGUACAAUUUAAAUCCCUUAACGAGGAACAAUUGGAGGGCAAGUCUGGUGCCAGCAGCCGCGGUAAUACCAGCUCCAAUAGCGUAUAUUAAAGUUGUUGCAGUUAAAAAGCUCGUAGUUGAACCUUGGGCCUGGCUGGCCGGUCCGCCUCACCGCGUGCACUGGUCCGGCCGGGCCUUUCCCUCUGUGGAACCCCAUGCCCUUCACUGGGUGUGGCGGGGAACCAGG